rnacentral:rRNA from 1 species
GAUGAACGCUGGCGGCGUGCCUAAUACAUGCAAGUCGAGCGAACGGACGAGAAGCUUGCUUCUCUGAUGUUAGCGGCGGACGGGUGAGUAACACGUGGAUAACCUACCUAUAAGACUGGGAUAACUUCGGGAAACCGGAGCUAAUACCGGAUAAUAUUUUGAACCGCAUGGUUCAAAUGUGAAAGACGGUCUUGCUGUCACUUAUAGAUGGAUCCCCGCUGAAUUAGCUAGUUGGUAAGGUAACGGCUUACCAAGGCAACGAUGCAUAGCCGACCUGAGAGGGUGAUGGGCAACACUGGAACUGAGAAACGGUCCAGACUCCUACGGGAGGCAGCAGUAGGGAAUCUUCCGCAAUGGGCGAAAGCCUGACGGAGCAACGCCGCGUGAGUGAUGAAGGUCUUCGGAUCGUAAAACUCUGUUAUUAGGGAAGAACAUAUGUGUAAGUAACUGUGCACAUCUUGACGGUACCUAAUCAGAAAGCCACGGCUAACUACGUG